rnacentral:misc_RNA from 1 species
CCGCGCGGCGACCUCUCGCAGU